rnacentral:rRNA from 1 species
UGCAAGUCGCACGAGAAAGGGAGCAAUCCUAAGUAAAGUGGCGCACGGGUGAGUAACACGUGGAUCAUCUACCUUUUAGUGGGGAAUACCUCUGGGAAACCGGAGACAAUACCGCAUAAGCCCGCAAGGGGAAAGCAGCAAUGCGCUGAAAGAGGAGUCCGCGGCCGAUUAGCUAGUUGGCGGGGUAACGGCCCACCAAGGCGAAGAUCGGUAGCCGGCCUGAGAGGGCACACGGCCACACUGGCACUGAAACACGGGCCAGACUCCUACGGGAGGCAGCAGUGGGGAAUCUUGCACAAUGGGCGAAAGCCUGAUGCAGCGACGCCGCGUGAGCGAUGAAGCCCUUCGGGGUGUAAAGCUCUUUCGACGGGAACGAUAAUGACGGUACCCGGAGAAGAAGCUGCGGCUAACUACGUGCCAGCAGCCGCGGUAAUACGUAGGCAGCGAGCGUUGUUCGGAAUUACUGGGCGUAAAGAGUGUGUAGGCGGUGUUCCCAGUCUGUUGUGAAAUCUCCCGGCUUAACUGGGAGGGUGCAGCGGAAACUAGAAUGCUAGAGGGUGGGAGAGGUAAGCGGAAUUCCUGGUGUAGCGGUGAGAUGC